rnacentral:rRNA from 1 species
UACGGAGGGUGCAAGCGUUGUCCGGAUUUAUUGGGUUUAAAGGGUGCGUAGGCGGCCCGUUAAGUCAGUGGUGAAAGCCUCCAGCUCAACUGGAGAACUGCAAUGGAAACUGGCGGGCUUGAGUGUGGCAGAGGGGGGUGGAAUUCCGCGUGUAGCAGUGAAAUGCGUAGAGAUGCGGAGGAACACCGAUGGCGAAGGCAGCCCCCUGGGCCAACACUGACGCUCAGGCACGAAAGCGUGGGGAGCAAACAGG